rnacentral:rRNA from 1 species
CGCGUGCACUGGUUCGGCCGGGCCUUUCCCUCUGGGGAGCCGCAUGCCCUUCACUGGGUGUGUCGGGGAACCAGGACUUUUACUUUGAACAAAUUAGAUCGCUUAAAGAAGGCCUAUGCUCGAAUACAUUAGCAUGGAAUAAUAGAAUAGGACGCGUGGUUCUAUUUUGUUGGUUUCUAGGACCGCCGUAAUGAUUAAUAGGGACAGUCGGGGGCAUCAGUAUUCAAUUGUCAGAGGUGAAAUUCUUGGAUUUAUUGAAGACUAACUACUGCGAAAGCAUUUGCCAAGGAUGUUUUCAUUAAUCAGGAACGAAAGUUAGGGGAUCGAAGACGAUCAGAUACCGUCGUAGUCUUAACCAUAAACUAUGCCGACUAGGGAUCGGACGAUGUUAUAUUUUGACUCGUUCGGCACCUUACACGAAAGUAAAGUUUCUGGGUUCUGGGGGGAGUAUGGUCGCAAGGCUGAAACUUAAAGAAAUUGACGGAAGGGCACCACCAGGGGUGGAGCCUGCGGCUUAAUUUGACUCAACACGGGGAAACUCACCAGGUCCAGACACAAGUAGGAUUGACAGAUUGAGAGCUCUUUCUUGAUUUUGUGGGUGGUGGUGCAUGGCCGUUCUUAGUUGGUGGAGUGACUUGUCUGCUUAAUUGCGAUAACGAACGAGACCUUAACCUGCUAAAUAGCCCGCAUUGCUUUGGCAGUGCGCCGGCUUCUUAGAGGGACUAUCGG